GACGAACGCUGGCGGCGUGCUUAACACAUGCAAGUCGAACGGAGCGAAUGAAAGCUUGCUUUUAUGAGCUUAGUGGCAAACGGGUGAGUAACACGUAGACAACCUGCCGACAGGAUGGGGACAACAUUCCGAAAGGAAUGCUAAUACCGAAUGAAGCGGAGGAGAGGCAUCUCUCUUCCGUGAAAGAUGGCCUCUUUUUAUGCUAUCACCUGUUGAUGGGUCUGCGUCUGAUUAGCUGGUUGGUGAGGUAACGGCUCACCAAGGCGACGAUCAGUAGCCGGUCUGAGAGGAUGAACGGCCACAUUGGGACUGAGACACGGCCCAGACUCCUACGGGAGGCAGCAGUGGGGAAUCUUCCGCAAUGGGCGCAAGCCUGACGGAGCAACGCCGCGUGAGUGAAGAAGGUCUUCGGAUCGUAAAGCUCUGUUGACGGGGACGAACGUGCGGAGUGCGAAUAGC
rnacentral:rRNA from 1 species